UCUUCYGUAGGUGAACCUGCGGAAGGAUCAUUACUGAGUGUGGCUCUGUCCGGAAACGGACAGGUUACCCGACCUUUUGUCAUUUGUUGCGGGAGGACGUCUGCAAACCCUCGCAAGAGGGGGACGUGCACGCGGAGCUACGGUUACCCGUCAGCGGGCGGACCGGCCCGUGCGUACGCCCGAUGUCCAAUCGUAUUUAAACUUCGGCGGAAGCGGUAGGCGUUGUCGAUUUUCGAAUUGACAGAAGACUUACCCGCCGCCGGCAGCAUUCUCACUCUGUUAAAAAAUUGAAGUCUGAAUAAAAAACAAAUAAAAGCAAAACUUUCAACAACGGAUCUCUUGGCUCUGGCAACGAUGAAGAACGCAGCGAAACGCGAAAGGUAAUGCGAAUUGCAGAAUCAGUGAGUCAUCGAAUCUUUGAACGCACAUUGCGCCUCUCGGUAUUCCGGGAGGCACGCCUGUUCGAGCGCCAUUACACACUCCAAGCACUGCUUGAUGUUGGGCGACGCUUUCUUUCGGGAAGGCGCGCCUGGAACGCGUUGGCGCCGCCGCCGGAUCACGAGCGUAGCAAGACGAAAGUCAAUCGCUCGGUUGGUCUCUGACGGACGGUCUGCAUAACCUUAACUAUCUAGUUUGGCCUCGAAUCAGGCGGGGAUACC
rnacentral:rRNA from 1 species